GCACAGCUGAGGAAAGCAAAGGGACAAUCAGUGAGCAAAGUCAUUAAUAAAGGCCAAGAUCCUCAAAAGGUUCUUAUGCCACUGCUUAAUGCACUACUGGAAGGCAUUUGGGUAUGUGAUUAACAUAUGAGUAUGUGCUACUUCAGCUCGGGUUUGUCAGAUCCUGGACCUAUGACCGGUUAUGGCUGAGGGUGGGAGGAACACCGGACCAUCCACAUAUAGGAACCAGG